UUGCCUCCUGUUGCUAACGAGUAAAGUCGAGCACUCUGGAGAGACUGCCGGUGAUAAACCGGAGGAAGGUGGGGAUGACGUCAAGUCCUCAUGGCCUUUAUGCCCCGGGCUACACACGUGCUACAAUGGCUGGUACAAAGGGUCGCAAAACCGCGAGGUGGAGCUAAUCCCAAAAAGCCAGUCCCAGUUCGGAUUGUAGUCUGCAACUCGACUGCAUGAAGUUGGAAUCGCUAGUAAUCGCGGAUCAGCACGCCGCGGUGAAUACGUUCCCGGGCCUU
rnacentral:rRNA from 1 species